UUCACCACUGGCCAGGGGGCGUCGGCUGUGGGCCUCACGGCGUAUGUCCAGCGGCACCCUGUCAGCAGGGAGUGGACCUUGGAGGCUGGGGCCCUGGUUCUGGCUGACCGAGGAGUGUGUCUCAUUGAUGAAUUUGACAAGAUGAAUGACCAGGACAGAACCAGCAUCCAUGAGGCCAUGGAGCAACAGAGCAUCUCCAUCUCGAAGGCUGGCAUCGUCACCUCCCUGCAGGCUCGCUGCACGGUCAUUGCUGCCGCCAACCCCAUAGGUGCAGCAGGCACCCUGACUGCUGGGGCUGGGGUGGGACACAGGGAGGUCCCGCCUGCUUGAAUUGGGAGCCCACGGGGUCCCCAGGAGCCGAUCUGAGGAAGUCAUUGUGCAGCAGAGGGUUCCCCUCUUCUGCAUAUCCUGCCAGAGUGGGGAACAGUGAAAGUGGGACCUGGGACACCUGGGUUUCCUGUUGAGUCAUGUUCCUGGAAUCACCUUGGAUGUUCUCAGAAGGCAUGGGAGGAGAGCCCAGUGCCCCUCUGGCCAGGAUGGAGUUGGCUGUUGGUCUCAGCAGCGAAUGCGUAAAAGAACCCAGGCUCUGUCACCCACUGUGUUCUUGGUUUUUCCUCCUGGGGAAGCAGUUAUGCUUUCUGUCUAAAUUAGGCUAUUUUGGGCCCUGGUUAGGGUAAGCUCUUU
rnacentral:lncRNA from 1 species